GCCGGAAUAGCUCAGUGGCCAGAGCAACUGUUUUGUAAACAGUAGGUCGAGAGUUCGACUCUCUCUUCCGGCU
rnacentral:tRNA from 1 species